CUAACUACGUGCCAGCAGCCGCGGUGAUACGUAGGGUGCGAGCGUGUCCCGGAUUAUUGGGCGUAAAGGGCUCGUAGGUGGUUGAUCGCGUCGGAAGUGUAAUCUUGGGGCUUAACCCUGAGCGUGCUUUCGAUACGGGUUGACUUGAGGAAGGUAGGGGAGAAUGGAAUUCCUGGUGGAGCGGUGGAAUGCGCAGGUAUCAGGAGGAACACCAGUGGCGAAGGCGGUUCUCUGGGCCUUUCCUGACGCUGAGGAGCGAAAGCGUGGGGAGCGAACAGGCUUAGAUACCCUGGUAGUCCACGCUGUAAACGGUGGGUACUAGGUGUGGGGUCCAUUCCACGGGUUCCGUGCCGUAGCUAACGCUUUAAGUACCCCGCCUGGGGAGUACGGCCGCAAGGCUAAAACUCAAAGGAAUUGACGGAGCCCCGCACAAGCGGCGGAGCAUGCGGAUUAAUUCGAUGCAACGCGUAGAACCUUACCUGGGUUUGACAUGGAUCGGGAGCGCUCAGAGAUGGGUGUGCCUCUUUUGGGGUCGGUUCACAGGUGGUGCAUGGCUGCCGUCAGCUCGUGUCGUGAGAUGUUGGGUUAAGUCCCGCAACGAGCGCAACCCUUGUUCACUGUUGCCAGCACGUUAUGGUGGGGACUCAGUGGAGACCGCCGGGGUCAACUCGGAGGAAGGUGGGGAUGACGUCAAGUCAUCAUGCCCCUUAUGUCCAGGGCUUCACGCAUGCUACAAUGGCUGGUACAGAGAGUGGCGAGCCUGUGAGGGUGAGCGAAUCUCGGAAAGCCGGUCUCAGUUCGGAUUGGGGUCUGCAACUCGACCUCAUGAAGUCGGAGUCGCUAGUAAUCGCAGAUCAGCAACGCUGCGGUGAAUACGUUCCCGGGGCUUGUACACACCGCCCGUCAAGUCAUGAAAGUUGGUAACACCCGAAGCCGGUGGCCUAACCGUUGUGGGGGAGCCGUCGAAGGUGGGGCUGGA
rnacentral:rRNA from 1 species